ACAGUAGGCAAAUUGGAAAAACACGUUUAGAAUAACAAAACUAUGAGCAACUUACAUUUGAUGCGUUUUACACAUUGCUAAUUCGUAAUACUGUACGCAUGGCACGUGUCACCUUAUUACUACCUACAUUAUUUUUAUUUGAAAGGUGUUAGGUUAACAACAAAUUCCUUUUGUUAAAUAAUUGUGUUUAUUUACCGAACUGUUUCCAAGAAAGGGGGCGCCAUGGAAAGAAGUUUGGGAACCAAUGAUCUAGAAGCAAAAGGCAAGGGCAAGGAUCAAAUUUCAAAUUGUAAAAUGAAUUUUGGAUCAACAUUUCGAAAUAUAGGUGCUCGUAAAGGUCACAAUCAAAUAUCUUUUUAAAUAAACGGUUCAGGUUUGACGUAUAAGUUGAAAUUUUAAAAUCUCUACGAAUGUCGAUAUCAAAAAUUGUAAUGUGACUUUUUUUAUGUUGUCUACAUUUCUAGCGCAUUUCCACAAAAAUUAAAAAAAUGUGUUAAUUUAGGAGUGUAAUACCCCUAAUCAUUUAUAUCGUUAUUAAGUUAAUUUUUAUCAAUAAAAAGGCUGUUAUUCCUGCAUUUUCCCAAAACAAGUAAUCCCAACUCCACAAAAAAACAUUCCGAUGUGUUACAGAAUUUAAAAAAAACAUUCGAGCAAUUGUUACUGUUCAAUAAACGGCCAUUGUAAAUUGUUGUAUAGUGUUUAAUUUAGGGGCGUAAUACCCCUAAUCCUUUAUAUCAUUUUUACAUUUAUGUGCGGUUUUUUCUGA